AAAACAUGGAGACCAACAUGGAGAUCAGAUUUUUGCUGAUGUGGACUCCGUUGCAGCCUGCUGGAUAGGACUAUUGUACUUGCUCUGAGAGUGAUCGACUGGUGCCACCGAGCCAGGGUCGGACCCAACUCGCUACCCGAAACCGGGGCGACCGUGAUGCUUCCGCUGCGGCGCUUGUCGCGGGCCUGCCGCCGGCGAGGUCUCGCCCAGUUCGCCGCCGGAAUCCCCCGGGAGGCGGCGGACGCGGUCGUGGUGGGCGCCGGCGCGGUCGGCCUCGCGGUGGCGCGCGCGCUGGCCAUGGCCGGGCGCGAGGUGGUGGUGGUCGAGGCGGCCUCCAGCUUCGGCACCGGCACCAGCUCCCGCAACAGCGAGGUCAUCCACGCCGGCAUCUACUACCCUCCCCGCAGCCUCAAGGCUAAUCUUUGUGUAAGAGGAAGGGAAAUGCUCUACAAGUACUGCGCAGAACGAGCAAUCCCCCAUGAACGGCUCGGUAAACUUAUCGUUGCUACUGGUGUUGCAGAGACUGCAAAGCUGGACAUGCUCCUCAAGAGUGCUAAAGACAAUGGGGUGGAUGAUCUUCAGAUGAUGGAAGGUUCUCAGGCCAUGGAGAUGGAACCUGAACUUCGUUGUUUGAAAGCUUUGCUAUCACCUAGUACUGGGAUUGUUGACUCACAUUCAUUCAUGCUCUCCCUUUUGGCUGAUGCUGAAAACCUAGGCGCAACCACAUCAUAUAACACAGCAGUCCUUAGUGGGCGUGUUGGAGAUGAAGGGCUCGAGCUUCAUAUUUCUGAAAGCAAAGAGCUGGAGAACCAUUCUAUAGGCUCUCCUGUACUCCCACAGAUUGUUUUGCUUCCAAAACUUCUGAUAAAUGCAGCAGGUUUGAGUGCAAUUCCACUUGCCAAAAGACUUGAUGGCCUUGACCAAGCAUUUGUGCCCCCGGCUUACUAUGCCCGUGGAUGUUACUUCACCCUCUCACAAACCAAGAGUCCUUUCAGCCACUUAAUAUACCCUCUACCAGAGGAUGGUGGCAUAGGGGUCCAUGUCACACUAGACUUAAAUGGCCUUGUUAAAUUUGGACCAGAUGUUGAAUGGUUAGAUGGUAAAAUGGAUGACAUGUCAUGUUUCCUGAAUAGAUUUGAUUACUCGGUGAACCCCACCCGAUGUUCUGGAUUUUACUCUGUGAUAAGGAAGUACUUUCCAAAUCUCAAGGAUGGUUCUUUGGAGCCUGGUUAUUCUGGGAUCCGACCAAAGCUUUCUGGCCCGGGACAGCGCCCUUCGGAUUUUGUUAUUCAGGGGGAGGAAGUCCACGGUAUUCCUGGGCUGGUUAACUUGUUUGGUAUAGAAUCCCCUGGUUUGACAUCAAGCUUGGCAAUUGCAGAACACAUUGUUUCAAGGUAUAACAGCACUUGAUUCUCAAACAAACACCGAUUGAUGAAUUGCAGCAGGAUGAACUCAGGAUGGCUGGAAAUUCAUGAAUUGCAGCAGGAUGAACCCAGGACGUCUGGAGGCUAUCAUGUGAAUCACAUUGCUUACAAUGAUUUCCUUGUUUAUUUCCUUUUAUUUCGGGGGAGAACAAGAUGCGGCUUGUAAAGGUGUAACUCUGCAGCUUAUAGUUGAAUAAACAGAAUAUAUCAAUUGCGGGUUUGAUGCAUAGAAAAGUGGAUCCUCACAUAGGUUUUGUGGGAAGAGGAUCCUCUGCAUUACAAGCUUGUGUUAAAGACCAUUUGAUGAAAAUUGGAUGGCCAUGAUUGAACGGAAAGCAUGUUGGUAGUGCACAUUUUCUUGCAUAAAAAAUACG
rnacentral:rRNA from 1 species